UUCAAUCUGUAGCAAAAUUUGCACAUGGUUCAUUCUCCACCAUAUAUAAUACAUAUACAGUACAUGUGUUCAUUGUAUGUUACUAAAUAAAUACAUAAAUGUUCUUUUUAUCAAAAAAUCCUGAAAAAAAAAAUCCACAAAAAGCAGCACAACUGUUUUAUUAUAAAUAACUUUGACAAUUAUUUUAUUUUUACAUUAAUAAUAAAUAGAAAUGUUUCUUGAUCAGCAAAUCAGCAUACUAGAAAAUGCACCAAAAGAGCAAAAGAGUCACUGAUGGAUUUAUCACAAUGUUGAUUCCUCAAGGAAGCUUUAACAUUUUAAACAUAAUAAUAAAUCACAGAAAGAGAUAAUUACAUUUUUUUUUUAGACAGAAACAGACAAACAAGAGAAAGGGGGAUGGGAGGACUGGGAAACAGAUGAAUAAAAGAUGUCUGAAUCAUUCGGCCACAGACAUAAACAGAGAACAGUUGCUUGUAGUUGUCCUCUCAGAGCCCCAGUUCGGUUAAACAAACCCGAGUCUACCUGAACAGCCAUGCUUUCUCUCCCAAUGCUAACUCAGUGGUGAGGUCCAUCGUGAUCUGUAGCUAGACGUCACUGAACAAUUACAGCUCCGCAGAGAUCAAAUGAGGCAAUGGCAGAUUCACAGACCCAUUCCAAGUAUUUACAAAUAUGAGUAAGGCUUCAGUCAGCUCUGCUGAUUCACUGUCUGAGAACAUAGAGUUAUCUGGUGACUUCUAACCAAGCAAGAGACUUUUUCCACCCAUUUGGUACUUUGUAUGUCAGUAUGUCAGGGGUGGUUGAAUAAAAACUGGGAAAAAACUGCAGAACAUCCCGUAAGAGAUGACUGGAACAAAAACUAAUAGUUGGCCAGCUUUCCAAAUAGAGAUCCAUUAUGGAUUACACUCGUAUAAACAUCUGUCUGGAAACGGAAAGAUUCUUUUUGGGAUAAACAACCCAGCUAGAUGAAGAGGAAGUACUGUGCAGCUGCUCCAAUGAGAUGAGAGGUGCAGAUGAGAUAUGAGGCGUUAAACGCAGCAGAUAUGUUGAAUGGGUGAGGUAUUUCUGUGUGAGAAACAGCAGCAGGCAUAACUUCAUUCUCAGAGGGAUGUACUGGGAUGCAGAGGAGAUGAAAGUAUCCUGCUGGCCGAGUUACUGCUUCUGGCCUCCAAAAAAUUCUUAUUUUUAACCGCUCCUAUGUACGUUCUUAAUACAUGUCCCUGGUGUUAUGGUGCAUGAGUUAUCAGUUAUGCUUUAAAAAAAAAAAUGUUUUCAUAGUUUAAAUGUAAUAACUUCCUUUGCCUCUGAAACAACUUCAUUUCAUUUU
ensembl:lncRNA